rnacentral:misc_RNA from 1 species
GAUGAAGAACGCAGCGAAAUGCGAUAAGUAAUGUGAAUUGCAGAAUUCAGUGAAUCAUCGAAUCUUUGAACGCAUCUUGCGCUCCUUGGUAUUCUGAGGAGCAUGCCUGUUUGAGUGUCAUUAAAUUCUCAACUACACUGACUUUGAAUUGGUGAGGCUUGGAUUUGGGGGGAAAAUUGUUGUGGGCUUUUUGUAUAGUCUGCUCCCCUGAAAUUGAUUAGCGGUACCUUUGUGGAACUGUCUACAGGUGUGAUAAUUAUCUACAUCUUAGACAUCUGCUGGAAUGCUGCUUUCUAAACCUUACUUGUAUUGACAAUCUUGACCUCAAAUCAGGUAGGACUACCCGCUGAACUUAAGCAUAUCAAUAAGCGGAGGA